rnacentral:rRNA from 1 species
CCUACGGGCGGCAGCAGUGGGGAAUAUUGCACAAUGGGGGAAACCCUGAUGCAGCGACGCCGCGUGAGUGAAGAAGUAAUUCGGUAUGUAAAGCUCUAUCAGCAGGGAAGAAAAUGACGGUACCUGAGUAAGAAGCCCCGGCUAACUACGUGCCAGCAGCCGCGGUAAUACGUAGGGGGCAAGCGUUAUCCGGAUUUACUGGGUGUAAAGGGAGCGUAGACGGCAGUGUAAGUCAGGAGUGAAAGGCGGAGGCUCAACCCCCGGACUGCUAUGGAAACUGUACGGCUGGAGUGCAGGAGAGGUAAGUGGAAUUCGUAGUGUAGCGGUGAAAUGCGUAGAUAUUACGAGGAACACCAGUGGCGAAGGCGGCUUACUGGACUGUAACUGACGUUGAGGCUCGAAAGCGUGGGGAGCAAACAGGAUUAGAUACCCCUGUAGUC